rnacentral:rRNA from 1 species
CCUGGCGGCCGUAGCGCGGUGGUCCCACCUGACCCCAUGCCGAACUCAGAAGUGAAACGCCGUGGCGCCGAUGGUAGUGUGGGGUCUCCCCAUGCGAGAGUAGGGAACUGCCAGGC